rnacentral:lncRNA from 1 species
AAUAUCCACCUCAAGAAUCAUAUAGAGGGGAAUCUUAUCCCUUUUUGAGAUUCCGCAGGAUAUUUGGCAUUCAUCAUAUCGCCUUACCAAAUCACUAGCAUAAUUAAACAACGUCAGCAAAUAGAAACCAAAACUCAAGACCUUUGAAGCUGUUCUCACCCCUCCAUGAUGGCCACCAUAGGAGGAGUGACAAGCCUCCAAAAUGCCAAUUGUUCACCUUCCAGGACACAUCUUCUAACCACACCAUCCGUGCAAAUUUUAAACAAGUACGAAUAAUCCCAUUAAAAAUACAAACUAUCCCGCUUGAGUUUCUUCCUUUGGUUGGAAGAGAGCUCACACGGUACAAUUUCGGUCAGAAUGAAACUGGCGAUGCGCGCAAACCAUGGCAUGUCACACAUUGACACAGAAAGAAUUUGCUCGACGGGGGAUGUAUCAUUUAUUUUAAGGCCGUCACUGGUGUCCCUUCUUCCUCCAACUGAGACAAAUGAUCCAUAACUUGGUUCUCACUUCCUUUCCGGUACACUAUUUCUAAGUCAAAUUCUUGGAGCAGUAAUACCUGUCUCAUAAAUCUUGCCUUGGAAUCCUUUUUGGUCAUCAAAUACCUCAGGGCGACAUGGUCUGUGUGCACAAUCACCUUGGCCCCCAUAAGAUAUGGUCUAAAUUUCUCCGUGGCAAAUACAAUAGCCUACAAUUCCUUCUCCAUCACCAUGUAAUUGUGUUGAGCUUCAUUCAUAGUGUUGCUUGCAUAAUACACAUGAUAAUAUUUGCUAAUUUGUUGACCCAACACCGCUCCCACUGCAACGUCACUUGCAUCGCACACUAGUUAAAAGGGAAAAUUAAAAUUGGGUUCGGUGAUGAUAGGAGUUUUGGUCAACUUAUGCUUUAAAAUUUCAAAGGCCUCCAUGCAUUUUUCAUCAAAAGAAAACUUGGCAUCUUUCUCUAGCAACUUGCAAAGUGGAUUCACAACCUUCGAGAAAUCUUUGAUGAACCGCCGAUAGAACCCUGCAUGCCCAAGAAAACUCCUCAUCCCUUUUACAAAAGUAGGGGAGGUAGCCUAAAUCACCUCGAUUUUCGCCUUUUCUACCUCAAUCCCAUGCUUAGAAAUCUUGUGACCCAAUACUAUACCUUUUUCCGCCAUAAAUUGGCACAUUUCCCAAUUGAGAACAAGAUUAGUUUCUUCACAUCGGGCCAAGACUCUAUCCAAGUUUACCAUCGAAAUCACCUCGAUUUUUUACUUGUCUACCUCAAUCCCAUGAUUAGAAAUCUUGUGACCCAAUACUAUACCUUCUUCCACCUAAAAUGGAACUUUUCCUAAUUGAGAACAAGAUUAGUUUCUUCACAUCGGACCAAGACUCUAUCCAGGUUUACCAAGCACUCUAAAAAGGAGUCACCAACCACACUAAAGUCGUCCAUAAAGACCUCCAAUAUAUCUUCAACCAUGUCGGUGAAAAUGGCUAUCAUGCCACGUUGGAAGGUCGCCGGAGCAUUGCAUAGCCCAAAUGGCAUCUGGGAGAAGGCAAACAUACCAUAUGGGCAUGUGAAAGGGGUCCUCUCUUGGUCUUCUGGGGAAAUUAGGAUUUGAUUAUAGCCCGAAUACCCGUCCAAAAAACAAUAGAAAGCGCGUCCCGCAAGGUGAUCAACCAUUUGAUCCAGGAACGACAACAGGAAAUGAUCCUUCCGGGUCACCUUGUUGAGUCCGGUAUAGGUUCGAGUGGGAAUAAGCUCAUUGUUGGAAUUUAUCAUCACCGGCAUCCCUCCUUUCUUUGGCAUACAUUGGACCGGAGAGGUCCACGAGCUAUCGGAAAUUGGAUAAACCACACCAGCGUCAAGCCACUUGAUAACUCUUUCUUUUCAAAUUCUUGCAUUGCUUCAUUUAAUCUUCUUUGAUGUUCAAGUGAAGGCCUUGCAUCCUCCUCCAAGAUCGUUUUAUGCAUGCAAAAGGCGACUUAUCCCCCGAAUGUCCGCAAGAGUCCAACCUAUAGCCUUUUUUUGCCUUUAAAGCACCUCCAAAGUGGCCUUGACCUGCAAGUUAGUAAGGAACGAAGAAAGAAUAACUGGAAGAGUUUAAUUAGAGAUCAAAAAUUAUUACCUAAUAUGUAGAGGAAAUGGCUUCAACUCCAACACCGGUGGUUCCUCAAUCAAUGGCUUUGUUGGUGGCGUUUUGCGAUUUUCAAGAUCCAAAGAUAACUUCCUAGGCUCAUAUGAAUAUGAACCCAAACCCUAAAAUGCAUUAAUGCACUCCACUCUACUAGCAUCAUCAUCUACAUCUAUGUUAAGAAGCACGGCUUCAAGAGGAUCUUCAACAUUUACUAUGGAACUUGUGUCAUCCACUCUCACAUCUGUGACAAUGUCCACAAAUGAACACACCUCCAUACUAUUGGGUUGCCUCAUUGAUUUGCAAACAUGGAAUACCACUUUCUCAUCUCCUACUCGGAAUGUCAAUUCACCCGCUUCAAUAUCAACCAAGGUCUUUCUUGUAGCUAGGAAAGGUCUCCCAAGAAUAAUCAGAACUUAAAGUCUACCUCACAAUCCAAUAUGACAAAGUCGGCCGACAAUAUGAAUUUAUCAACACGGACAAGAACAUCUUCAACUAUGCCCAAGGGUCGGUGCAUUGAUCCGUCCGCCAUUUGAAGUCUCAUUGAGGUUGGCCUAGGUUGCCCAAUGUCUUGAAGACCGAAUAAGGCAGCAAAUUUAUUCUAUCCCCCAAAUCACAAAGGGCCUUGGCAAAAUCAGCACUACCUAUAGUGCAAGGGAUAGUAAAAGCUUCGGGGUCCUCAAGUUUCGGAGAUCAUCUUAAUUGUUUCGCACUCCAUUGACCUCUUCUUUGUUCAAAUCAUUCAUAAAUUUUGCAUACCUUCGCAUUUACUCAAGUGCCUCAACCAAAGGGACAUUGAUUGUGAGGCUCUUCUUCAUGUCAAUGAACUUUUUGAAUUGAUUGGCGUUCUUUUGCUUUGCUAACCAUUGAGGAUAAGGUUGAGGUGGUCUAGGCAAAGGUGCCUCUUUGGGCACCACUGGCUCGGAUAUAUCAAUCGCGUGUUCCUUGGAUAGGUUCACAUCAUCUUGUGUUUCCACCUCGGCCUCAUCAUCAAUAUCAAUCCGUACAUCAUUAUUCACAUUUCGUUCAACCACAUUUUCAUCAAUCAACGGAUCCACAUCUUGUUGGAUCCAAACGUUAUCAUCCACAACUUGAUUUUCUAUCGAGGCAUGCACAUCACCACCUCUUCCGCUUCUAGUUGUAACCGCCAUUACUUGGUUGUUGUUCCUUCCUUUCGAGUUCACUACCAUAUCACUUGGUAGGGCACCCUUGGGGCGGGUAUUCAAAGCUUGAGAAAUUUGACCCAGUUGCACUUCCAAGUUCUCGAUAGAUGUAUUAUGUGAAGACAAUUGUGCAUCGGAUACAUGGUUGUUGUUCCCACCCUUGGGUUCACUACUAUAUCCCUUGGUAGGGAACCCUUGGGGCGGGUAUUCAAAGCUUGAGAAAUUUGACCUAGUUGCACUUCCAAUUUCCGGAUAGAUGUGUUAUGUGAAGCCAAUUGUGCAUCUGAAUCUUGUCUCCUUUUCGUCAUUUGCUCAAACAUACUUUCAAUUUUCCCCUUAUCACUCCCGGAAUAACUUGGAUCUUGAGAAGGAAAAUGGGGUGGAUUGUUCGAUUGUUUGUACAUGGGGGGCGUUUGAAAACCUAUCCCCGAUAGCCUUGAGUUCCACUAUUAUUUCACCCUCCUUGAUUGUUGUUGCUUCAAUUAUUGUUGUCCCCGUUCCAAUUGCCUUGAUUGUUAGCGUGAUUACCCCAAUUACCUCCUUGGUUUUUAUUGUUCCAAUAACUACCACCUUGUUGAUUUUCCCAAUUGUUUCUUUGAUUGUUGUUGUUCCAAUUACCACCACCUUGUUAUUGGUUGUUACUAUUCCACUUUCUGCUGCCUUGUUAAUUACCCCAAUCACCUUGGGGACGCCAUUGUGAUUCCCUUGAUUUCCUCUAUUUCCCUGGUAGUUAUUUAUAUGUUGACAUUUCUUGCUUUGAUCAUCAUAACCCUCAUUCAAAUAACCACCACCAUCAUUGUUGUAUCAAAUUGCUCAUAAUUACCUUGAGGUUGUUGUUUCCCUAUUUGCUUUUUUCAACAUCGAGACACCUUCCAUUGCAUUGACUUGGCGCGGGUUUUGGACUUGCAGCAAUUGCACCUUCACCAAUUUAUUCAUAUUGUUGUAAGAUCGGAAAUAACUUGUGAAUGCUCGUGCAAUUUCUUGUGCAAAUGGAUGACAAUAGGUCACCUUGGGGCACAUUUGCUCGGGUUUGCCAUAACGAAGAGGUGUCGGCCAUUUCAUCAAGUACAUCAAUGUCUCUUGGUAUGAAAGUUUCAUAAAGUUCCCUCUGGGUUAUUGGUUCACAAUGCAUUGAUUCAUGGUGUUGAUGCCCCGAUAAAAGGUUUGUCGGAUCAUCGCCUUGGUCAUGUCAUUAUUAUGGAACUCCUUCACCAUUGUUCUAUAUCUCUCCCAGAUUUCAUGUAAAGGUUCCGUUUGCUCUUGCUUUAAGGAUAAUAUUUCAUCUCGAAGUGUCGCCAUAUAACUUGGUGAGAAAAACGUGCCAAUGAAUUUAUCCGCCAACUCAUCCCAAGUUGGGAUGGAAUGAUUGGAGAGCCUUUCUAGCCAAUUCAAUUCUUUACCCAAAAUAGAGAAUGGGAAAAGCCUCAAUCUCAAAGCAUCCCCGGACACGUUCGUCUGUUUGCUACCCCAGCAUGUAUCUACGAACCCCUUCAAGUGCUUGUAGGCAUUUUUAUUGGACGUGCCCGUGAAAUACCCUAUUGGCUCGAGUAAGGUCAACAUGAAAUUUGUGAUUUGAAAGUUCCCCGCCUGGAUUUGGGGAGGAACAAUAGCACUCCCAUACACUUGAUUUGGGAGAACUCUUGGGGCCACUCUUGGCGGUGGCGGAGAAGGGUCUUGGAUAGGAUUGUUGUCAUUUGCAUUGGACUGACGACCUCUACGUGGAGCUUGAGGUAAAUUAGGAACCUCUUCUUGAUCAAGAUCAUCUACUUCCUCCCCCGCCAUUACAUUACCAAUAGGGUGAUUUUCAUUAAGAGCCAUGUGUACCUAAGUGAUUGACACAAACAAAAUCAGUAAACAAGAAGGAAAUAGAAGCAAAACACAACACUAACUAAACAGAUAGUCAACACCGUAAGUUCCAUGGCAACGGUGCCAACAAGUGAUCGCUGCCAACCCAACUCUACAGAAAGGUAGGAAGAGCGGGUCGCAAUAGCUUUUACCCGAAUAAUGGUCGGGAUCAAAUUUCUACAGGGAGCUAGUAGUGAAGUUGUAUUUUCUGUCUAUCAUAGAGAUGUGUUUGUAUUUCUAAUGUCACUUUAAACAUUUUUGGGUUUUUGAUUUUAUAACUACUAUUAUUAAACUAAGGAUUAAAGCUAUUACGCUAAGAGAAUAUUGUGAAGUUGUAUCUAAUAGGGAUAAAGGCAUCACGGCUGUGGCAUUUCCUAGGUGGUUAAUUAACAGGUAGAAACUACUAAGGAUAGAUUGACAUGCUUGGGGUUUAUGCUAUAACCGUGGAAAAUUGUACCCACUCUAACACCUCUCGUUAGAGAGAGUGAUUUUGCCCAAUUGACUCUCUCGAGACCAAUUGGGUAGGUCUAUUAGACCAAACAAUUAGGGUUCAAGUAGGGUGAUUACUCUCACGAGAAUUAACCUAUUAAUUGGGACUAUCAUUUCUCAUGGGUCCAUCCCAAUUCCUUGUUGGGUCAAUUUUGGGGUNNNNNNNNNNNNNNNNNNNNNNNNNNNNNNNNNNNNNNNNNNNNNNNNNNNNNNNNNNNNNNNNNNNNNNNNNNNNNNNNNNNNNNNNNNNNNNNNNNNNNNNNNNNNNNNNNNNNNNNNNNNNNNNNNNNNNNNNNNNNNNNNNNNNNNNNNNNNNNNNNNNNNNNNNNNNNNNNNNNNNNNNNNNNNUUGUUGGGUCAAUUUUGGGGUCAUAGACUCUCUUUCUCAAAAAGUAUUAAACUCACUAAGCUUGAAUCAAUAUUUGCAACCACCAAUUCUCAUAUAAAAACAUAAAAUCAACCCAAAUAGCAAACACCCAAUAUAAAUCCAACCUUAGAUGGCAACACCAUCAAUUACCCACAAGGGUUGAUCUAUAACCUUAGAUAAUGGGUUUAGCUACAUAUAAUUAAAGAAAGAACAGAAGAAACAGAUGAAGAACUAAACAUAUUAUUUAAUUACUAAGAAGAAACUACAAUAAUCUAUUGUUAAUGAAUACCAAAAAUGCUAAAAAUGUCUACAAUGUCAUUCCCAGGUGCUCAGCUGCAUUCUGAAUACCCUCCUCCCUAAAAAAUGCUAAAAAGUUCUAUUUAUACUAGGCUGGAAAAAUUGGAAAAAAUACCCUGCGGGGUCAGUGCGGGCCGCACAAAAGCAACCGCGGCCGUACUGGCAUUUUUACUUGGCAAUUUUCACUCUCUGAAGUAGAGGACGCGGACCGCACAAUUGAGCAGUGCAACCGUGGAUGGGGCCUGGCGCGUACCGCGCGGUGACGAUCAUAGGCCGUAUGAUUUGACUAGGCUCUUUGACAACCUCUAUGAAUCUCAUUCAUGCGAACUGCACAAAUGAGUGAAGCGGUCGCGAAGCAUGAACAUGGACCGCGACCACGUUGUCUUUAGCCAGAUUAUGUCACGCAUCCGAACUUCCUAGUGCGACCGUGGUUGCUUUCACGCAGUCCGCAUUAGGUCCUAUUUUCUUCACUUUACUUUGUCUUUGAAACUUGAGCAGGUUUUACUCCAUUUUUGAGCUGAUAUUUGACAUUUUGUCACUUUGUCGAUUAGACCUGCAGUCAAACACAAUUAGUGAGCAUUUCGGGACUAUUUUGUAGCAAUUUAUACUCAAAGCAUAGGCAAGUAGGGGCAUAAUACAUUAAAAUCCUAACUUAUCAUAGGCCGAGUUGCUCCACGACACUAGAUCGGAUGCUAUUCGCCGAUCUACCUGGAUCCACUAAAACACACUUAACUUGAACUUUAUUUAAUAAGAUAGAAAUUACUAGAGAUUCGUUGCGUGGCUGAGAAACGCCUUCUUCUUCUUCGUCAUUGAAUGAUAAGGAGCCUUCGCGCACAUAAUCUCGGGUUCAUUUUUCCCUAGUGAUUGAUACCUUUGUGCAUUUUAAUAUGGUUACAUGUGGAAUGUCAACCCCGCUGGCAAUCAAAUGAAUGAUAUACUGGGGUUCAUCCUAUUAAAUUUUUAUGUUGGCGUCCCUUUCUCUGAAAUGAUUCUUGGGCUCGAUAACUAAGGAACACUCGAAGGGGGCCCUCAUUGAAUAGACGGGCUACCUCUUCCCUCAUUUGCUUGCAAUCCUCAUGGGUCUAGGCCACCUAGUAUUUUUUAUCCUUCCAAUUUUCGAUAUAAUGCCCAAUGCUUUGAUGCUAAAGUUAUAUUCUGAUAAACGAGGUGCCUCUAUGGGAUCAACAUGCUUAUCAAAACGACUUUUGCUGAUAAGUCCCCGAGAAUUCUGUCCUUAAUCACUUCUUCGAUCGUUCCAAGAGGAAUUGCAUCCAGAACUAUUGUUCCUUCAAUCUAUGGUAUAUGGUUGAUAUCGAUCUCUGUUCAACCUUGGCUCCUUGUCAACGUCCCUCGGGGUUUUAACUGCCGACUGAUAACUAGGGAUUCUAGUCUAUUUUAUGCUUUUUUUGCUUAAGAUUUGGACUAAAAGUGUGUACAAGUAUUUCCCAUAGCUAUUUUAUUGUGCUUGCUUGCAGUAGUCAAAAAGAGGCAAGAAAGUCAAAACCAGCUCAGAAAAUGAGUGAAACCUGCACAAGUAAAAGCUGAGCAACUGAGGUUGACAUCGGAAAAUCAACCGCAAACGCGGAGGAUCCACUGCAGAGGCGGUCUUGAUCUUAGUAUGGCUUCUAUUCCAUCUCAAUCUAUGAUUUCUUCCUUAAUUAUGAAUAGCUAAACCCAUUAGGUAGUGUUGUAGCUCAACCCUAAUGUGGGUAUUUAAUGGGACUUCUAUUUUAGGGCUUAAAUGUUUAUGGGUAAUUGAUAUUUGGUCUAAUUUAUACUUUAAAUGUUAAAUUGGUAGCUGCAAACACCGAUUUGUGCCUUUUUGACUUAGGCUCUUCUUAAGAAAGAGAGACCAAGUCUAGGAAAUUCAGGCCAAAAAGAAAUUGGGGUGAAUCCAAGAGAUUGAUAGCCCCAAUUAAAGGGUUAAACCUAGAGAUAGUGAUACCUGAAUUGAGCCAAUUUUGCUUGCAUUGUUUGAACACCCAAUUGGACUUGAGAAAGCCAAUUAGGGAAAAGUCACUCAAACAACCGAGAGGUAUAGAGUGAGUAGUUCCGUGCAGUGGCUAUAUCAUGUCCCAACUAUAACAAAUUUCUCUAAGUUUGAGAUCUCGUUAGAUACUCACCUAGGAGUAAGUCACAUUCCUAGUGCCUUUCUAUCAAUAAAUAAAACCGCAUAAAAAAUAUCAUACUUAGUUAAAUUUCCUGCAUCAUUAGUAUUAAAUUAGAGUAGCGAACAAACAAAGAAUGAUUGAAAGUUCAAUCAAGAAAACUGCACAUUGCUAGAUUAGAUAGGAAUCCAACUCCAAACAUAUCUUAGCUUCCUAUGGAUUGAUCUCGAACUAUUCGGGUAAAAGUUGCAACGACCGCUCUUGCUACUCUAUAGUGGUAUAAGGUUGGAGCCAAUCACUUUUCGGUGAGGAGCUGCGAGCGGCUGGAGAUUGCUGGUGGUCGGCGGGGUAGAGGGAGGCCUAAGNNNNNNNNNNNNNNNNNNNNNNNNNNNNNNNNNNNNNNNNNNNNNNNNNNNNNNNNNNNNNNNNNNNNNNNNNNNNNNNNNNNNNNNNNNNNNNNNNNNNNNNNNNNNNNNNNNNNNNNNNNNNNNNNNNNNNNNNNNNNNNNNNNNNNNNNNNNNNNNNNNNNNNNNNNNNNNNNNNNNNNNNNNNNNNNNNNNNNNNNNNNNNNNNNNNNNNNNNNNNNNNNNNNNNNNNNNNNNNNNNNNNNNNNNNNNNNNNNNNNNNNNNNNNNNNNNNNNNNNNNNNNNNNNNNNNNNNNNNNNNNNNNNNNNNNNNNNNNNNNNNNNNNNNNNNNNNNNNNNNNNNNNNNNNNNNNNNNNNNNNNNNNNNNNNNNNNNNNNNNNNNNNNNNNNNNNNNNNNNNNNNNNNNNNNNNNNNNNNNNNNNNNNNNNNNNNNNNNNNNNNNNNNNNNNNNNNNNNNNNNNNNNNNNNNNNNNNNNNNNNNNNNNNNNNNNNNNNNNNNNNNNNNNNNNNNNNNNNNNNNNNNNNNNNNNNNNNNNNNNNNNNNNNNNNNNNNNNNNNNNNNNNNNNNNNNNNNNNNNNNNNNNNNNNNNNNNNNNNNNNNNNNNNNNNNNNNNNNNNNNNNNNNNNNNNNNNNNNNNNNNNNNNNNNNNNNNNNNNNNNNNNNNNNNNNNNNNNNNNNNNNNNNNNNNNNNNNNNNNNNNNNNNNNNNNNNNNNNNNNNNNNNNNNNNNNNNNNNNNNNNNNNNNNNNNNNNNNNNNNNNNNNNNNNNNNNNNNNNNNNNNNNNNNNNNNNNNNNNNNNNNNNNNNNNNNNNNNNNNNNNNNNNNNNNNNNNNNNNNNNNNNNNNNNNNNNNNNNNNNNNNNNNNNNNNNGGUAGGGGUAAGACUGCCUACAUAUUACCCUCCCCAGACCCCACCUGGUGGGAGUAUACUGGGUAGUUGUUGUUGUUGUUGUUGUUGUUGUUGUAUUUACAUCACCACCUCGACCGCUUCUAGUAAUCAUCACCAUUGAAUGCCCAGUGUUGUUCCUACUCUUCAGGUUUACUACCGUAUCACUUGGUAGAGCCCUCUUAGGGUGAGUAUUCAAAGAUUGUGAAAUUUGGCCAAGAUAAAAAUCAAUAUCUUUGAUUGAAGUAUUGUGGGAUUCCAACUGGGCAUCAUGGUCGGCGUUCUUUUUCAUCAUUUGUUCAAACAUCAUCUCUAUCCUUCCAUCUCAUUGUUUGAUGAUAUAGGACCUUAGGAAAGAAAUGGAGGUGGAUUGUUUGGUUGUUGAAAUAUUGGAGGUCUUUGAAAGUCUAGCUCUCGAUUUCCUUGAUUGCCAUUAUUCCAAUCCCCUUAGUUGUUGUUUCCUCCCCAAUUAUUGUUGUUGCCAUUCCAGUUUCUUUGGUUGUUCUGAUUGCCCCAAUUCUUAUUGUUGUUCCUCCAAUUGCUAUUUCGUUGUUGGUUUUUAUUCCCCUAAUUUCCUUGGGAUAUUCAUUGUUGUUGUUGGUUAGGAUAAUUGACCUUUUAUCCUUGAUAACUGUUCAUGUAUUGCACUUCUUCAUUUUGCUCACCAUACUCAUCAUCUUGAUUGAAACCACCGCUACCCUACUUAUAUUGAUCCAGAUUACCUUGACCAUGUUGACCUCUUUGUCGCCUCUUUUUGACCAUCAUGUUGACACCUUCCGUAGCAUUUACUUGUGUUCGCACUUGAACAUGUAUCAGUUGAGCUUUUGCGAAUUGGUUCAUUGUUAUAGUUAACUCUACUAUUGCUUGGCCAUGGUCGUGGAGCUUUUUGUGGAAGUGAGUGAUAGUGGGGUCACUCUAUGGAAUAUUGGCUCGACUUUGGGAAGACGAGGGAGUAUCUUCCAUCUCAUCCAAUAUCUCAAACGUCUCAACAUAAGAUAUGUUCAUAAAACUUCCCCCUUCUAGCUGGUUCACCAUACACUGAUUUGUCGUGUUAAUGCCACGGUAAAAUUUAUGCUGGAUCGUUGCUUUGGUCAUGUCAUUAUUCAGACAUUCUUUCACCAUUGUCCGAUAUCUCUCCAAUAUCUCACAAAGUGGUUCAUUAGGUUCCUGUUUGAAAACCAAAAUCUCAUCAUUGAAAUUCUCUAUACGCCCUGGCAAAAAAAACUUGGCUAUAAACUUGUCCGCCAACUCAUCCCACACAGUGAUGGAUAGGUUGGGAUGCCUUUCAAGCUAGUCCAAGAUUUCCCCUUAAGUGAAAAAGGAAAUAAUCUCAAUCUCAAUGCAUCCUCUGACACAUUGGUCUGUUUGCUUCCCCUUAAGUGAGCUCUCUUCUGACCAAAGGAUGAAGUUUAAGCGAGAUAGCUUGGACUUCUAUUGGGAUGAGCCUUACUUUUUCAAAAUCUGUAAUGAUGGUGUCAUCCGGAGAUGUGUUCCGCAAGUGGAGAAAAUGAGUAUUCUAGAUACUUGUCAUUCCUCUCCCUACGCUGGUCAUCAUAGUGGGGAAAUGAUAACUUCAAAGGUAGUUGUGGUUUUUAUUGGCUUACAUUGUACACGGAUGCAAGUGAACUUUUGAAGAGAUGUGAGGAGUGUUAAAGAGCAUGUGGAAUUUCAAUAAUGGAUGAGAUGCCUCUCACCACUAUUCUUGAGGUUGACAUAUUUUAUGUGUGGGGUAUUGGCUUCAUGGGUUCGUUUGUAAGUCCUUGUGGCAACACACAUAUUCUCAUGGUCAUUGAUUAUGUUUCCUCCUGGGUUGAGGCUGUGACUUUACCUAACAAUAAGGCCGUGGGUGUUGUGGAUUUUCUCAAGAAGAGUAUCUUUACUCGGUUUGGCACUCCUAGAGAAAUUAUCAUUGAUUAUGCAAUAAGGCAUUUGACACUUUGCUUGAAAAGUAUGGUGUCAAUUACAAGGUUUCUACCCCUUAACAUCCAAAGCUAGUGGACAAGUUCAGGUCUCCAACAGGGAGAUCAAGAGCAUAUUGUCAAAGACGGUUAAUUAAAAUAGGACUAACUGGUCAGAGAAACUGGAUGAUACUUUGUGGGAAUACAUGACUGCUUAAAAGACUCCAAUUGGUAUGUCUCUGUAUCAGUUGGUCUUUGGGAAAGAUUUCCAUAUCCCGGGUGAGCUAGAGCACAUGACCAUUUGGGCUUUGGGGAAGUUAAACCUUGAAUGGGAUGUUGCAUCAAAUCUUCGGGUGGAGCACCUAAAUGAGCUUGAUGAGUUCCUGUUUCACACCUAUUCCAGCUUAUCCUUGUAUAAGGACAACAUGAAGUACUUAUAUGAACAAGUAUGCUCGUAGCAAGGAAUUCAAAUUGGAUGACUCAUUUCUUUUAUUCAACUCCCGGUUACGACUAUUUCCAGGAAAGCUUAAGUAAAAAUGGAGUGGACCUUUUGAGGUGGUGCUUGUGACUCCUUUUAUUGCUCUUUAUUUGAAAAAUAAAAAUGGUGAGAUCAUCAAAUUUAAUGGGCACAGAGUGAAGCAAUAUCUUGGCAAAUUUGAUGAUAGCCACGUGGUGGUAAUAUCUAUCUCAAGUGAUUGAUGGUAACCUGCAUCAUGCCGCGAUGUUAAAUCAGACACUUCUUGAGAGACAACCCAUGUGUUUUUCUUCUUUUCUGAUUUUCUUCUUAGUAUAGGUUUUUUUGAACUAACUGGUUGUGAGAUAUGUCUAGGAAGGUUUGUCGCAGUGCAUGGCUAAGCUGAAAAAUAUGGCAGUCUAUGAAGUUUCUACAGCGACUGCGGUGCCUUCUUCCCGGUCCGCGGUUCUCAAUCGCGGUCGCGGAGAAUUUUCCGCUCUCAGCGAUAGUCCCAGAAUAGCAACCCUUUAGUUCUACACCAGCAUGGACGCGCAGUGAUUUUCUGCAGCCGCGCUACUUAAGUUUAGUGGGCCCCUAGGCAUUUGCUAUAAAUAGACGGUCAUAAGGCCUUUUACCCUUUUUGCCCAUUUCACUCUCAAACUAAAUUCACCACCAUUGUUCCACGCCCUAAGAUGCACAAACACAAGACUUUGAGUCCAUUUUCAUCGCACAUUUCACAUCUAGUGAAUUCGUUUGCUCAUUAUUCUACAAUUUUGGACUUCUUUUUAAGUUUUUAUUUUAACUAUUAGUUUGGUUUUUACUUCUUGUUCCUCUUUUCUAUUAAUUUUGUCCUAGGGCUGUUUAUUGUUAAUUAGGUUAGGCUUAAAAUAGUUAUGAGUUGUUAGUGAAUACCUAGGGGGGCUAAAAAUGUAAAGAAGAUUGCUAAAUGCAUGAACAACUAAAUCCGUAGGUUUACUAACCCAUAUUCUGACUUUCAGAGCCGCGGUUGAUUUUUCGUAGUCCUUGGUCAUAAGUUUUCGAAGUAACGUAACAGGAUUCAAUGUUGUACCAUCUUCCAUUUUUCUCCAGAUUUACCCAGUGAGGGUGCACGUAUGAGUCAAGGUUGACACUUUCAAUGUGUGGAUCAUACCUUUGGCAUCCUAGUCGAAGAGGGAGUCGAUUCACGUACUUCACCAUUUCCUGGGUCAUUAUCGCCUUUCCCUUGGGCGCUAAUGGUAUUUUUUAUUUAGAAUCAACGGGACUCUAAGACCAUAUAUACUAAUUACUUUGGGUCUUAUCCCGAUGAGGUAAAAAAUCUUUUUAAAAGGCAUAUUGGCGAAAGAGGAUUGAGAACCAUAAGGCUUUCAUCAAAGGCCAUGAUCUCCAUUAUUCCUAUUAUUUUAUGUCUCUUUGAUUUUGAGGCAGUUUCAAGUUUAAGCCGAUCCUCGGGGUCAAAUAAAGUGCUUCCAUUAACCAGCAUAAACUAAAAGUGCUCUCCAAACUGUGUUGGAUAGUCACCCAUCACACGCAUAUCAAACAGUUGUUUUGGAGAUAUAGGUGACGGAGGAAGAGUACCGAGAGUUCUAUAUUCCCAGAGAUUUGAGAUAUUUAUUUUUCUAUUAUCCGGCAAACCUAAAAGCGGAUGCGAGAAAGAUGUCAAAAAUCUGCUUAGGGUCAAAAUGGACUUUAUCUUCUUGCCCUGCUAUCCGCCAAAUCAUAAACACAUCUUUAGUGGAAUUUUUAGUUCUUUGUAGUUAGUAUCACCCUGGAAAGCAUCUUAGGUUGUGUGUUUUUGAAAGGCUCGGUAUACCAUGAGAAGCCUACCCUCGAUAGCUCUGCCCCUCUUUUCUUAACCGGAGCUUUGCCCAUUUAGUCCGAACUUUGUUAAGAGGCAAUAAAAACUACUCACUAUCCAAAUCCUUUGCGACCGCUAUUGAUUUUCCGCGGACAUUGGUGCAAACACCGAGGCCGCACUCAUCUUACCGAACUUAGCAUUGCAAUAUAAUUAGAGGGUGGGUAUUAUGAUCCCCACACCUGCAGGGCUGCGAUGAAGUUUUCAUGGUAUGCAGUGUAUCCUUUGUAGCAGCGCUCCUUUUUCCGCGGUCUGUAAUUUUUUUCCAUGCACUAUAAAUUGUUCUAAUGUUUUUAUUUACUGCUUCUUCUUGCAACUAACAAUGUGCCACUGAUUAUGUUUGCAGACAGUUGUUAAAUCUAGAGCCGGCAGUAAGAAACAAAAGGGUAAAGCAUAUGCCUCUCGGGGUAAGGGACAAGGACAAAUAAAGAUGACCCUAGUAAUUCGGAAAUCAAUAGGAGAAAUGAGGAAGAACAUUAGAGUUUAAAAUAGAGUAGCUUCCCACUCCAAGGAGACUGAGUAUGUGCCCUCCCGGAGGCAUCAGAGACCGACUCACUGCUAGCCUAUGUACCAGACUUCUCGGAGAGAUGGAUUGAGAGAUGAGCCUACACCCCCAGCUUCUCCCAUUUCUCCUGCAUCUUCUGAAUCCUCUGAUGGCUCAGCAGAGAGUGGUAAGUCCUCAUCUUUAGCCUUAACUACAGCUUCGUCGCUAGCACAGGACCCCAUAGAUAUAGAUGCUGAGGUAUCGGAUGAUGAGAGAAAGGGUGCCACCACGACCGGAGGUGUAGAAAGAACAAGAAACCCAAAGGAUUGGCAAUAGAGAUUUGUCAGUGAGCUAGCAUACCAUAAAUUCAGGGAAUGGUGGCCUCAAAAAUCCCUAAUUCAUGAGCGUCAAUUUAUAAAGAGGGAUCUUCUGCCUUACAACCCUAAUAUGAAGUAGUACUUCAAUGAACGAGGAGUAUGGGAGUACUUAACUAGCAAGGUGCCGGAUGCAAAUGAGUGCCUAGUCAAGGAAUUCUAGGCCAAUGCCUCCCACAUCAAAAGUGGAGCAACAAUGACAAAUGUGUGGAACCCGAAGACCAAAUUUGAUGGGAAGACAAUCUAUGAUUACCUGGGUAUCAAUAAUAAAAAUGAGGCAAUAUAUUUAGAGAAGGUGGGAUGAGGCAGUCCGCCUGAGGCUGGCAUCACUUUUGGCCCUCCCGGACACUACUCCAACAUGGUUGACAGUAGGGGUUCCUACCUUAAGGAUCUCCCUAAACUUUGAUGCAAAGGGUUGAGAUACCUUUGCGUGCAGCAGACUAGACCGCACUACCCAAGAAAACACCAUGCCAAUUUCCUGGGCGAUUGUAGUGGCGGCUAGCAUGACGGGGUUCCCGAUCAAUGUCGGGAAUAUCAUGUCUAGGGCGAUAACCAGAGUGGUCAACGAUGGUAAUAGAUCUUAUCCCUUUCCGAACUUCCUCAUCAUGUACUUGGAAAAUCAGGAGGUGGAGAAAAGAAAGUUUGGUGUCAUGGUAAAGCCCAAGAAGGCUUCUCAUAGUACAGCCUACAGAGUGCAGACAACCUCAAAUCCAAUGGAUCCAAAGGCAAAGCUACUACUUCUACUAGCCAAUCUAAAGAGCCACUAGUGGUAGUCACUACUUCACAGCCUCCCACUGAUAUACCGAAUCCUGCCUCCGGACCAUCUACUUUCAUGACUUCUUCGGUGCCAUCCUCCUCAACAUACCCAUUGACGGCUCAUAGGUUAAGCCAAACCCUCUACAGCAUUCAGAAUUGGAUGCAUGUAGAAACGUCGAAGCUGUCUGUGCUAUCCAGUGGUAGCCCAGGAAGUUCCCAUGCAACUACAUAUGCCAACUUCAGUAAAUGAGUCUCUCAAAGAGCUUCAGGACAAGUAGAAGAAGCUCCAUGAGAACCAAAAUCUUAUUAUGGAUGCCAUUGCAGUUCAAGGAAACACACAUAAGGAUAUGAUCAAGCACACAAAGAAGCCGAAGAAGUCUCAAGCCUCAUAUGAGUCAGUGAAGCAAUUUCGGGGAGAGGUAGAGAAGAUGAAGUCAGCUGGUGAUUUGCCAUUGGAUCUACUAUUAUAGGACCAGCCUCCAGUAGCUCAGACUGAGUAACUUGAGGACCAAGAGACUCAAGGUGAGCCCAGGAGGAGGAGAGUGAUGCACCGGGUUGAUGAUGUUGAGAUCGAGCUGGAGGAGAUUGUGGAAGGUGACUCUUUCCAGCCACAGGCCCCCAAACCAGGUGAUCAAGGACCCAGCCACAGGACCCCAAGCAGCCAUAGGACCAGAUAAAGACAGAGGACCUAUAGAGAGUUUCCUUUACUCUCUACCCUUCUCUUUUAUCUUAUUUUUGGUUAGUUAGCAUUAAGGGCAAUCUAGCUUUCAUUCGAGGGGGUGGUCCUACUUUAAUGAUUGGUAGUUGGUCUGUAAUGAUGAUACUAUUUUCUUUCUUUAUGCUUAUUUUGCACUUUUUGUAUGUAUAUAACUUUACGAAUUAUUUCACUUUUCUUUAUUUUUUGGAUUUUGGUAUGUAUAUUAAGUUACUCUCUCAUGUAUAUAUUCAUCUAAAUCCCCUAUUGUACAUAUUUAGUUUACUUUCCACAUUUUACUUCACAAUUUGUUUUUUGCAACUUUCCUCAAUAGUAUAGCUUUUUAUUUCAUUUUGUAGCUUCAUUUUCGGUUCGUAGCUUCUUAUUAUACUAGUUUCUAUGAUUAAUUAAGCCUUUGGUUUUCUUAAUGCUUAAGUGACGAUGAAACCUUCUUAUAGACAUAUAUCCCACCCUGAACCAAAAGCCUUAACUACAUCCCCACAAAAUCCUUAUAUGAUCUUGAUUUGGCCGAACACCUUAGUGGUGACUCACAUAAGGGGAAGCUUAUGGUACUUCGAGCCGGUCUUGUGACCUUCCUUCGAGAGAGAGAGAGAUAAGUGUGUUUUCAUCAAUCCUCAUUUUGAGUGCCACAACCUAAAAGUGAGGUUUGCUUAAGGAUAGUUGAGGAGUAUGAGUUUGGGUUACACAAUGACCAAAGUGGUAGAAAGAGUUUCGUUGAUGAGUUUAGUCAGUUGUUGAUGCUUUUGUGUCACACUAAAAUCAUGGUGUUUAAUACGGCUGAGAGUUGUUAAUGAUGCAUUUCAGUUGAGGGUAAUUGUUAGUACCAAUUGAUGCUAGAUGAGUCCACUUUAGGACAUCUGAAUUUUCCUUUCUUUUAUCUUGAGGAGGUAGGAAUUACUUUAUUUGCUUGAGAAUAAGCAAAACCUUAAGUUUGGGGGAGUUGAUAACUACGAAUUCUAGUCUAGUUUAUGCUCCUUUUUUGCUUAGGUUUUGGAUUAAAAGUGUUUACAAUUAUUCCUAAAAGAUAACUUAUUGUGCUUGCAUGCAGUGUUUUGUAAAAAAGACACAAGAAAGUCAAAACUAGCUCAAAAAAGUAGUGAAACCUACACAAGUCAAAGUUGAUUCAACUGAGCGCUGAUAGCGGAAAAUCAAUCGCGGACGCGGAGGAUCCACCGCUGAGGCGGUCUUAUCUCACGGUAAUUAGUGGCAAGGUUUAAGGGAGUGUGUUUUGGUGCUUGCAAGUUACCACUGCCCGCGGUGCUUUUGUGCGGUAGUGGUGUCUGUACUGUGGCAGCGGUCCUUUUAUCCCGGUUAGCGGAGGAAAUAAAUAGAGAGCUCAUUCUGGAGCUCAAAGAGAAGAUCGUGAUCCGUGCUCAUAUUUUGUGUCCACGGUUGGAGAAGUGGUGCAGCGGUCAUCUUUCCGCUCCAACCGUUCCUAAGCUUAGAACCAUCUAAAAGUUAAAGAUCACGGUCCGCGCUUGAUUUUCUCUACUAGGGUAGUCUCAGCACUGCAGCGGUCCAUUUUCCGCUGUCAGCGAUACCUCGGUACGAGCAUUUUUUCCAAAAAAUUUAGCUGUGUAUAAAUAUUUUUUUUCCAUAUUUUUAGGUCUUCUGUUGUUCCGAUGAGCACGUGAACCGCCUCUUUUUAUCUUUUUGAGUAAUUUUAGAGCUUGUUCACAAUUAAUCUUAGACUCUUAUCUUGUAAUUACUUUGUAUGGCUUCUAUUUCAUCUCAAUCUAUGAUUUCUUCCUUCAUUAUGAGUAGCUAAACCCACUUGCUAGGAUUAUGGCUCAACCCUUGUAUGGUUAUUUAACGAGCCUUCUAUUUUAGGGCUUAAAUGUUUAUGGGUGAUUGUUAUUUGGUCUAAUUUAUGCUUUGAAUGUUUAAUUGGUGGUGACAAAUAUUGAUUUGUGCCUUUUUGACUUAGGCUUUUAUUGAGAAAGAGAGACCAAGUCUAGCAAAUUCAGGCCAAAAAUAAAUGGGGUGCAUUCAAGAGAUUGAUAGCCUCAAUUAAAGGGUUAAACCUAGAUAUAGUAAUAUCCUACUUGAACCAAUUUUGCUUGCAUUGUUUGAACACCCAAUUGGGCUUGAGAAAGCCAAUUAGGGCAAAGUAACUCACACUACCGAGAGGUAUAGAGUGAGUAGUUGCGUGCAAUAGCUAUAUCAUGAUCCCAACUAUAAGAAAUUGCCCUAAGUUUUAGAUUCCGUUAGAUACUCAUGUAGGAGUCAAUCACUUCCCUAGUUCCUUUUUAUCAGUUAAGAAAACCCCAUAGCAACAAUAUCAUACUUAGUUAAAUUUCCUGCAUCAUUAGUAUUAAAUUAGAGUAGUGAACAAACAAAUAAUGAUUGGAAGUGCUAUCAAGAACAUUGCACAUUGAUAGAUUAGAUAGGAAUCCAACUCCAAACAUAUCUUAGCUCCCUGUGGAUUUGAUCUCGACCUUUUCGGGUAAAAGUUGCAUCGACCGCUCUUGCCACUCUAUAGUGGUGUAAGUUGGAGCCGAUCACCGGCCUGGUUGGAUGUACUGAACUGAAAGGGGCUACUAAUAGGUCAUCAUCGACCCUUUCAAUUAAUAUCGAUUGUGCACAUCUGCCCAAGUCACAGCCAGAUACUCAACACAAUUUUAUUUCAACUAUCAUGAUGCUAUUGAACAUCGCUCGUUUAGACUAUGGCGGCAAGCUUGAAUGGAUCAAGCAACUCCAUUCAUUCCAAUUGAAAUCGGGAUACAAACUUCCUCAGAAUUUUGUUAUCCCUUUGUCUUAUCUUGAAAAAGUUUGAUUUUCUUGUUGUGACCUUUAUGGCCCCAGCGUGUGCCUUCAUGAAAGAAUUUUCUAGCAUGAUAGACGAAUCAAGUGAAUUUUGUGGUAGUUUGUGAUACCAAAUCACUCAUCCCUUUGAAAAACAUUUCCCAACAUUUUUCAACAAAAAAGUCUCUAUUUCAUCAUCAUCUAGGUCAUUUCCCUUUAUUUUGCAUGUGUACGAAGUGAUGUGUUCAUUAGGACCGGUGGUCCUACUGUAUUUAAGUAUAUCUAGCACACGAAACUUUUUAGGAAUGGGCUGAGGAAUGGGAUUCACAGCCGUACUCUAAGGAAAAGACUUCUGCGCGAACUUUUUCGAAUCCAAACCCUUUAGGAUCGGGGGUGCCCCUGGUAUCUCAUAUAACUCGGGAGUUGUACGUUCCACUUUUUUUAUCAUUAUCUUCGAUUUUAUUUUCUCCUGACUCAAUCCUUUUGGUGAGAUCUUCGAAAAUAUUAAUUAUUGCAUGAUCAUUCUCUGACUCGUUACCAUUUGACCUUUCUGGCACUAGCUCGGUAGGGCGAGUGAUUUCUGGCUCGAGCCACUUGGAGACCUAUGUUGAUUUUGCAAUUGAGCUAUUACAGCCUGCUGAGCCAGUAGCAUCUUGAAUAUAACUUUGACACUAGCUCCUCUGUAUCCUCUACGUUGUAUACCUUGACCACCAAAUUAGCCUUCCCCUUGCACACUCCCUUAGGAUUCCGUGCCUAGGUCCGCAUUGAGAGCAACACAUUAAUUGAUAUCGACUGGAUCGGCAACCGGUUGUCCUCCGAGAUUAGCCGGUGGCAUCCGUACUCCUGGAGCAAUUGCAUUGUUGUUUUCCCCCAUGAAAUCCUAGGCCAUCAUCACCAUGUACAUGUGUGUUUUGAGAGUUUGACAUGGUUUAACCUGAGAGAAAAAAAUACUUGACAAGAAUAAGUGUGAAAUAAUGUGUGUUAUCAGAAUCAGCACUGAAACAAUGACUAUUAUCCUUAGCCCCACGGUGUGCGCCAAACUGUUUACCUUAAAAUUUUGAGUUUUAAUUAAACUUAUGUUGUGGUUUUAAGGAUGUAUAAUUUAAUCCAAUACCAAUUGAUAAACAAUCCCAUUUAUAUAAUAGGAAGGUGUAGAUGAAAUAUAGAGACUGUAUUAUGAAGACCUUGCAAAAGUUUAGACAUAAUUAAUUAACCAUGCGAUUUCCCAACCAAAUGACCCCUUAUAGUGUUCUUAGUGCAAAACAAUAUUAGGAUCCAUUUUUUAGUUGCAGUAUUCGACUUCUAAUUUAUGAUUAAUGACGUUGGCUUUUAUAGAGUUAAGAUUUAGUUAAGGAAUUUUUGGAUUUACGGGGCUAAUAGUGGGGCGAGCCUCAAGCGUUGGGCAUGUAUUUUACAGGACAAAUGCCUUAUAUUUUUAAACUUCAUGUCCAAUAUGCCAUAAUUAUAUGUACAUACCAACUUUAUAUAUUCUUGCUUUGGGAGAAAAGAAAGAAACCUCCUCCCCCUACUAAUAGCAAAUAGUCAUUAUCCUUUACUUCAGCAAUUGGAUAACAGUCGUGGCAACCUUAUUUCUUUUUCAUUUUAAUAUUCUUUGUUUCUAUAAUUUUUAGUCACCAGAAAAAUGCUUGCCACUAAAUAGUGACCUAGUCUUUAUUUGGACUUUGCUAUCAUCUUAGUGGUUAACCAUGAUGCAGUUAUAUAAAUGUUAAGAAAGAUGUCUCGCUGCAAUAUAAAAACUAGAGUUCCACACUUAACUAUGCAAUACAAGUCUUAAUUAGUUCUAUCCUUCCAAUAUAGUUGCAAAAUGAGAAGUUUUGGGAAUUUAGGGCAAUGGCCUCUUCUUGCUGUUGCUUUGGCAAUUUGCUUUGUAGCCAACACUGUUUUUGCUGAUUACUCUUAUGGGUAUACUUCUCCCUCACCUUCUUACAUUUCUAAGAAGUAUUACAAAUCACCAUCUUCACCCAUUCAUUUUAAUAUUCUUUGUUUCUAUAAUUUUUAGUCACCAAAAAAAUGCUUGCCACUAAAUAGUGACCUAGUCUUUAUUUGGACUUUGCUAUCAUCUUAGUGGUUAACCAUGAUGCAGUUAUAUAAAUGUUAAGAAAGAUGUCUCGCUGCAAUAUAAAAACUAGAGUUCCACACUUAACUAUGCAAUACAAGUCUUAAUUAGUUCUAUCCUUCCAAUAUAGUUGCAAAAUGAGAAGUUUUGGGAAUUUAGGGCAAUGGCCUCUUCUUGCUGUUGCUUUGGCAAUUUGCUUUGUAGCCAACACUGUUUUUGCUGAUUACUCUUAUGGGUAUACUUCUCCCUCACCUUCUUACAUUUCUAAGAAGUAUUACAAAUCACCAUCUUCGCCCAAGUAUCAUGUACUAAUACCUCACUAUAAGUCACAUGCUCCUGCAAAGCAUUAUUAUAAGUCACCGGCUCCCGUAAAAUAUUCCAAUUCUCCAGUUUCCGUAAAAUACUACAAAUCGCCAGUUCCCGUAAAAUACUACAAAUCGCCAGCUCCCACAAAAUACUAUAAGUCGCCAGCUCCCGCAAAGAACUACCACAAAUCGCAAUCACCUGCAAAGUACUACAAAGCGCCAACUCCCACAAAAUACUACAAGGCGCCAGCUCCCACAAAAUACUAUAAGCCACCAGCUCCUGCAAAAUAUUACAAGUCGCCAGCUCCCGCUAAAUACUACAAGUCGCCAGUUCCCGCUAAAUACUACAAGUCACCCGCUUCUUCAAAGAACUACUACAAGUCACCAUCACCUACAAAGUAUUACAAGUCACCAUCCCAAAUAAAAUAUUACAAAUCGCCUGCUCCCUCUAAAUACUACAAGUCACCGCCGCCACCAAAAUAUUACAAGUCCCCAUUUUACUACAAGUCUCCACAACCAGCUUAUUAUGAAAAAUCACCUUCGUAUUACAAGUCACCUCCACCUCCUUCUAAAUACUAUGAGCAAUCACCUUAUUACAAGUCACCUCCACCCCCACCAAAAUACUAUGAGCAAUCAUCAUCUUCUUACAAAUCUUUACCUCCAUCAUACUAUAAAGAAUCUACACCUUCUUAUAAAUCUCCCCCGCCCCUACCAAAAUACUACGAGCAAUCACCAUUUUCUUACAAAUCUCCACCUCCACCAUACUAUAAAGAAUCUACACCUUCUUAUAAUUCUUAAAUACUACGAGCAAUCACCAUCUUCUUACAAAUCUCCACCUCCACCAUACUAUAAAGAAUCUACACCUUCCUAUAAUUCUCCUCCACCCCCAACAAAAUACUACGAGCAAUCACCUAUAAAUUACAACUUGCCAUCUAUACCAAAUACCUACUCACCUCCACCACCCGCAAACUAUUACAAGCAAAUUCCCACAUAUGCCUCAUCUCCACCACUUGAGAAGUACGAGCAAUCCGUCAUUUAUGCUUCCCCUCCACUCCCAUCAGCAUCUCCUCCACCAACCUACUAUUGAUAUUAAUUAUUCAGCCAGUUUCUUCCAUUUCCAUGACUUCUGAUUCCUUUUUGUCCUCUUAUUUUUAGCAACUCCAUUUCAUUUGCCAAAAUUUGAUGUAUGGUUCCUGAAAUGACCGGGUUUACUUAUUAUGUGUUCAAUGUUAUUUCGUUUAAUAAUUUGUAUUAUUUAUUGUUUUAUUUAAGUAAGAAUUUGCCAAAAUUUGAUGUAUGGUUCCUGGAAUGACCGGGUUUACUUAUUAUGUGUUCAAUGUUAUUUCGUUUAAUAAUUUGUAUUAUUUAUUGUUUUAUUUAAGUAAGAUCCUCGAGAUCUCCAUCAAUUGUUCUCAUUAUAUCGAGAUUCUUUGCAUUCUGCUUUCUUUGUUCUGUCGUAUUCUUUGUCUAAAUAAUGCAUGUUUUAAUCGACUGUAUUCUUUUAUCGUUCCAUAAGUAUAUCUUCUGAACAUUUAUUCAAACUUAAAUUAGUUGAAAUUCAGCAUAUGGUCUCUUGAGAACUUUUUCCCGAGAAUGGUUUAUAACCUACCUAUUCUAAAAUUUUAAGAAAUAUUGAUCUCUUGGGUUUCCAUAGAUAUUGGAGAAUGGUUUAUAACCUAUCUAUUCUAAAAUUUUAAGAAAUAUUGAUCUCUUGGGUUUCCAUAGAUAUUGCUUUUGUUUUCAACCCGUCUCGUCCCGCUUAAUUUUGUUUGCCUGCUCAUUUGGUGUAGCAUGAUCCUCUACUUUUUCAUUAAAAGCUAUCUAUAAAAGUUUUCUGUAGACUUAUAGUAAUGGAAAGAUUAGUGUAAGAAUAUGUGCAAUUUUUUCCUUAAUGGUCCUGCGGGUCAGUCCCGUGGCAAAAGAAAAUCAUACAUUUGAAUCCUAAUAAAUUACUUUGGUGAGACUUAUGCAAAUUGGUUAAUUACAAAUUAAAAUAGUAUUCAUGCUAGCGAAUAAGAAUGUGAAAUUGUUGUUGAAAUGAUUGCGUUAAUUACAAAUUAAAAUAGUAUUCAUGCUAGCGAAUACGAAUGUGAAAUUGUUGUUGAAAUGAUUGCUUUGUUUCAAAAAAGAUAAAAUCUAAAGUUAUCCCGCAUUAAACCCGCAACCUGCCCCCCCCCCCCCCCCCCCCAUCCCGCAACCUGCCCUCCCCCCCUCUCUUUAAAAAUUUUAAAAAUUAUUUUAACCUGCCUGCAUCUACCCCGCCCCCACCCGCAUAAGAGUAAACCCGCCUGCCCCGCAUCAAACAAAACUCGUCCUGCCCCAUCCCAUUGUCAUCCCUAAUCACGAAACAUCUUGUUACAAUAUUAUUUGAAGCUCUCUCUGGAUAAUAAGUAGGUCUCCCCGGAUAAGUUUAAAAAGUUUACUCGUCCCUAUUUUCUCCCAUCAGCAUAUGUAUUAGGUAACUCCGUCCACUAACACUUUAACAUAAAAAGAAGAGAUCAUCUAAUGUUCUAAUGACUACACUUGCGAUGUUCUCACUCCUGAUUUAUGAUCGAGAUAGAUGGCUUUUGAAAGAUUAAGGGUUUGUUAAGGUUUUUUCGAUAUAAUUACACUCAAUUGAAGAAAAUCAUUUAGACGAGCCUCGUGCGUUUGGCAUUGGAAGCAUUUUAAGUGUAUAUGCGGGCUCUUGAAGCACAAAUUUUACAAGACAAGACUCUCCCACAUCUGGCUCAAACCGUUUUACGAGUGCCAAGUCCAUCCAUAUGGUACGUGAAUACGGGUGGAUCUACGUAUACCAUGCCGAGUGCUGAACCACCCAUUGACCCCAGUGUUAACUGAAAAACAGAGUAAUUUCGUCCACAAAAAUUGAUCGAAAUCGGUCAGAUAUUGAUAAAAAUCGACCGAUUUUUUUUUUCUAAUUGAUCAAAAAAAUGAUGGUCACUAACGUGUAACGACUAAAAUCGGUCGAAAAUUUCAUACCGAAUUCGGUCGGAAAUUUCAAAGCGCUGACUAACUAUCGACCUUUAAUUUCCAACCGAAUUCGGUCCGUAACCAUUAAAUUUUUUUUAAUUUUAAAAUACCGACCGAAAUUGGUUCUGUCCUUCCAAUAUAGUUGCAAAAUGAGAAGCUUUGGGAAUUCCACACUUAACUAUGCAAUACAAGUCUUAAUUAGUUCUAUCCUUCCAAUAUAGUUGCAAAAUGAGAAGCUUUGGGAAUUUAGGGCAAUGGCCUCUUCUGGCUGUUGCUUUGGCAAUUUGCUUUGUAGCCAACACUGUUUUUGCUGAUUACUCUUAUGGGUAUAGUUCUCCCUCACCUUCUUACAUUUCUAAGAAGUAUUACAAAUCACCAUCUUCGCCCAAGUAUCAUGUACUAAUUCCUCACUAUAAGUCACAUGCUCCUGCAAAGCAUUAUUAUAAGUCACCGGCUCCCGUAAAAUAUUCCAAUUCUCCAGUUUCCGUAAAAUACUACAAAUCGCCAGUUCCCGUAAAAUACUACAAAUCGCCAGCUCCCACAAAAUACUAUAAGUCGCCAGCUCCCGCAAAGAACUACCACAAAUCGCAAUCACCUGCAAAGUACUACAAAGCGCCAACUCCCACAAAAUACUACAAGGGGCCAGCUCCCACAAAAUACUAUAAGCCACCAGCUCCUGCAAAAUACUACAAGUCGCCAGCUCCCGCUAAAUACUACAAGUCGCCAGUUCCCGCUAAAUACUACAAGUCACCCGCUCCUUCAAAGAACUACUACAAGUCACCAUCACCUACAAAGUAUUACAAGUCACCAUCCCAAAUAAAAUAUUACAAAUCGCCUGCUCCCUCUAAAUACUACAAGUCACCGCCGCCACCAAAAUAUUACAAGUCCCCAUUUUACUACAAGUCUCCACAACCAGCUUAUUAUGAAAAAUCACCUUCGUAUUACAAGUCACCUCCACCUCCUUCUAAAUACUAUGAGCAAUCACCUUAUUACAAGUCACCUCCACCCCCACCAAAAUACUAUGAGCAAUCAUCAUCUUCUUACAAAUCUUUACCUCCAUCAUACUAUAAAGAAUCUACACCUUCUUAUAAAUCUCCCCCGCCCCUACCAAAAUACUACGAGCAAUCACCAUUUUCUUACAAAUCUCCACCUCCACCAUACUAUAAAGAAUCUACACCUUCUUAUAAUUCUUAUACAAAUCUCCACCUCCACCAUACUAUAAAGAAUCUACACCUUCCUAUAAUUCUCCUCCACGCCCAACAAAAUACUACGAGCAAUCACCUAUAAAUUACAACUUGCCAUCUAUACCAAAUACCUACUCACCUCCACCACCCGCAAACUAUUACAAGCAAAUUCCCACAUAUGCCUCAUCUCCACCACUUGAGAAGUACGAGCAAUCCGUCAUUUAUGCUUCCCCUCCACUCCCAUCAGCAUCUCCUCCACCAACCUACUAUUGAUAUUAAUUAUUCAGCCAUUUUCUUCCAUUUCCAUGACUUCUGAUUCCUUUUUGUCCUCUUAUUUUUAGCAACUCUAUUUCGUCUGCCAAACUUUGAUGUAUGGUUCCCGAAAAUGGCUAGUAAGAUCCUCGAGAUCUCUAUCAAUUGUUCUCA